ANACNUGCAGUCGACGCGUUGGCCCAAUUGNUUGANGGUGCUUGCACCUGAUUGAUUUUGGUCGCCAACGAGUGGCGGACGGGUGAGUAACACGUAGGUAACCUGCCCAGAAGCGGGGGACAACAUUUGGAAACAGAUGCUAAUACCGCAUAACAACGUUGUUCGCAUGAACAACGCUUAAAAGAUGGCUUCUCGCUAUCACUUCUGGAUGGACCUGCGGUGCAUUAGCUUGUUGGUGGGGUAACGGCCUACCAAGGCGAUGAUGCAUAGCCGAGUUGAGAGACUGAUCGGCCACAAUGGGACUGAGACACGGCCCAUACUCCUACGGGAGGCAGCAGUAGGGAAUCUUCCACAAUGGGCGCAAGCCUGAUGGAGCAACACCGCGUGAGUGAAGAAGGGUUUCGGCUCGUAAAGCUCUGUUGUUAAAGAAGAACACGUAUGAGAGUAACUGUUCAUACGUUGACGGUAUUUAACCAGAAAGUCACGGCUAACUACGUGCCAGCAGCCGGCGGU
rnacentral:rRNA from 2 species